UACGUAGGGAGCAAGCGUUGUUCGGAUUUACUGGGCGUAAAGGGCGCGUAGGCGGCGCGGUAAGUCACUUGUGAAAUCUCCGGGCUUAACUCGGAACGGUCAAGUGAUACUGUCGCGCUAGAGUGCGGAAGGGGCAAUCAGAAUUCUUGGUGUAGCGGUGAAAUGCGUAGAUAUCAAGAGGAAUACCUGAGGUGAAGACGGGUUGCUAGGCCGACACUGACGCUGAAGCGCGAAAGCCAGGGGAGCAAACGGG
rnacentral:rRNA from 1 species